UGCUGGAGCCAGGGUUGUCCCCAUAAGAAUAAACAGAACCGAUGAAGAGUAUGAGAAGAUAUUUAACUCAAUAAACGGACCAACGAUGCGUCUGAUUACUUCCCCAUAUGUGGCACGUGCCAGGCCCUCCAACAGAUGACAGUACUGACCAGCAACAAGAACCUUCUGACUCUGACAGAGACCAAGGCUGUGGCCCUGCCUCUCACAUUCACCCCAGAACUACAGCCGGAAUGUCAAGCUGAAACAUUUCUACAAGGUUCUGACCACUAACAGAGACGGACGGAGAGAGUUCAUUUCUACCAUGGAAGGUACUGUACAGUGUCUGAACAUGGCUAGAGAGACUUCAUUUGGCCAUCAAGUAAGAGGUGUUGAAACCAUGGGAUACUUGCAGCGGCAUGUGUGUAAAAUGCAUUCACCACAGUGUAUUGAUUAUCAAGACCCCAGGUCCUUGUUAGCCACACUGUAACCGGAGCCUCGAGGUUCUAUUGACAAGCGGAAUGUUUUCAUUGGUCUGCUCUCUUGUUGUAGGGAAUCGCUACCCAUUGUAGACUGUUCCAGUGGCUAUACUGUAAAUAGAGCCUAGAUUGUACGUUUUCUCUCUGGUAGCGAAUCGCUAUCCGUUCUAUGCUGUCCAGUGGCACCCUGAGAAGAGUCCCUUUGAGUGGGUAGAUAAGCCAGGUAUGGUCCACUCUGCUGCCUCCGUCAGAGCAUCCUUCUACACAGCWCACUUCUUUGUCUCCGAGGGUGAGUUAUUUUAGUCCACCUUUCUUUAACCAGGUAAAUCGGUUAAGAACAAAUUCUUAUUUGCAACGCUGGCCUGGGGAGUGACUAUAGAUUAGAUAUUGGACUGUACAAUGCUGGCCUGGUGAGUGACUAUAGAUGACAGUCCAGUUAUUGGAUUGUACAACUCUGGCCUGGUGAGUGACUGUAGAUGACA